rnacentral:lncRNA from 1 species
UCUAAAUUUGUUGAAAUACAAACUAUAUUAAAAUUGAAUAUUGUUUUUAAUUAUUGAAUUUAUUACAUAUGAUAAAUUCUAAUUAUUUAUUUUAUAAUUCUGACAUACAGAAACUCCCUGACUUAUGUGGGUAGAUAGUUCUGCAAAAUUCUGAUAUAAACAAAACAUUUGUAUGUUGGAGCAUACUUGUACAGUAUUAAUGUGUCAUAAAGACAUAGCAAUAAAAAUAGUUAUAUUAAAGAAUAAGCUUAUAGAUCAGCCAGGAUGGUUUAUGAUAAAGCAGUUGCUUAUCAUCUUGGAGGAUCUGAGUUCAGUUUUGAAUCCCACAUCUCCGGUUUUUCAGAAAUGGUCCAGGCAUGGUUUGUUAACUAAAAUUAACC